rnacentral:rRNA from 1 species
UGGGGAAUUUUGGACAAUGGGCGAAAGCCUGAUCCAGCAAUGCCGCGUGUGUGAAGAAGGCCUUCGGGUUGUAAAGCACUUUUGUCCGGAAAGAAAUCCUUGGCUCUAAUACAGUCGGGGGAUGACGGUACCGGAAGAAUAAGCACCGGCUAACUACGUGCCAGCAGCCGCGGUAAUACGUAGGGUGCAAGCGUUAAUCGGAAUUACUGGGCGUAAAGCGUGCGCAGGCGGUUUGCUAAGACCGAUGUGAAAUCCCCGGGCUCAACCUGGGAACUGCAUUGGUGACUGGCAGGCUAGAGUAUGGCAGAGGGGGGUAGAAUUCCACGUGUAGCAGUGAAAUGCGUAGAGAUGUGGAGGAAUACCGAUGGCGAAGGCAGCCCCCUGGGCCAAUACUGACGCUCAUGCACGAAAGCGUGGGGAGCAAAACAGGAUUAGAUACCCUGGUAGUCCACGCCCUAAAACGAUGUCAACUAGUUGUUGGGGAUUCAUUUUCCUUAGUAACGUAGCUAACGCGUGAAGUUGACCGCCUGGGGAGU